GAUGAACGCUAGCGGCAGGCUUAAUACAUGCAAGUCGAGGGACAGCACAGGUAGCAAUACUGGGUGGUAACCGGCAAACGGGUGCGGAACACGUACACAACCUUCCUUUAAGUGGGGGAUAGCCCAGAGAAAUUUGGAUUAAUACCCCGUAAUAUAGUUGAAUGUCAUCAUUUGAUUAUUAUAGCUACGGCGCUUAAUGAUGGGUGUGCGGCUGAUUAGAUAGUUGGCGGGGUAACGGCCCACCAAGUCUACGAUCAGUAGCUGAUGUGAGAGCAUGCUCAGCCACACGGGCACUGAGAGACGGGCGCGACACCUACGCGAGGCGGCAGUAAGGAAUAUGGGCAAAGGAACGCAAGUCUGAACCAGCCAUGCCGCGUGAAGGAGUAAGGUCCUCUGGAUUGUAAACUUCUUUUAUUUGGGACGAAAAAGGGCCUUUCUAGGUCAACUGACGGUACCAGAUGAAUAAGCACCGGCUAACUCCGUGCCAGCCGCCGCGGUAACCC
rnacentral:rRNA from 1 species